rnacentral:lncRNA from 1 species
CUGCUUAUUUCCCUUAUUAAAAUAUAACCUAGCUGGAGACGCCAGACCUAGAUUUAAUAUUCUAAUAGCAUUAAGAUGAAGGAACCCAGUUUAUAUCAAUUAUCCUAGAGACGCUAGUAAUAAUUAAUAUACCAAUUAAUUCCCCCUACGAACACGGUAGUUGUAUCACUAAUUAGUCCAAUUCCAACAAUUACGGAUUGGCAGGAACUAAUUGACUGUAAUCCAAUUAAACCUAAGUUGAUCAGGCUUAAAUAAAAUCAGAAUUAUCUUGGAACCUAGGAAUUAAUCAGAAUUAAUAGGAAUCAAUUUUAAACCAAUUAGGUCUCACAGAUCAUUAAAUUAGAGUUUCAUUAUUCUCGCCGAAUUAAAAGAAUUAGCUACUCAUGACUUAAAAUAAAACAAUCAAAUGAAUAAAAUAAGCAUAAUAAACAACAAAGCAAACUAACGAAAAUAAAUUCGCAAGGAAUUUUAAAACCACUUGAACCACAAAUUGAACCCGUCUGCCUUUGCUCCCAAUCCAGCCGCAAUAAUUGAAACAGAGAACAAGAAUUAAUCUAAGCAACUAUGGAAUCAAAACUAAAAGGACGUGUGGAACAAUUGCAUGAAAAUAAAACUUGCAUGAAUAACUAAGAGAAAUCGCCUGUACUCCAGUUUUGAAAAGCCAAGUAUCAAAGUAAAAUUAAUCAAAGUCAAAAACUAAUCCUCCUCGUCUAAAAGUGCGGCUAGGUCUUGUAAUCAAAAAAAUAAAACUAGAAUCCUACUUCUAAUCAAAUCUAACAUGCGGCUGCUAUAUCGAAACAAAAGUAGGGAAUUUUAAUUCCCUUAAGCUACCGCCUAACCUAAAUAAAUGGGCUUCGGCCCUAAACUCAAUUAAUACCCAAAAUAAAAUAAAACUAAGAGUUUUGAGCUUUAUAAAAAUAUAACAAUUAAAUUAAAAGCCCAAUCUCUACUUUCUUCCAUCUUCACGACAAAUCCCAUCGCAACCUCGUCUUUCUCCACUUUCUUCCAAUUAGCAGCUCCAUCUCCAAUUCUUCUCAUUCCUGCGCCAAAACAUAGCAAAACAUGUAAUAUCACAUGAAACCACGGCAAAACGCACACUAAACUAGGUAGCUAAAAUACACACAUCA